rnacentral:rRNA from 1 species
GACGAACGCUGGCGGCGUGCUUAACACAUGCAAGUCGAACGCUGAAGCCUAGCUUGCUGGGUGGAUGAGUGGCGAACGGGUGAGUAACACGUGAGUAACCUGCCCCCUUCUUUGGGAUAACGCCCGGAAACGGGUGCUAAUACUGGAUAUUCACUGAUCUUCGCAUGGGGGUUGGUGGAAAGGUUUUUUCUGGUGGGGGAUGGGCUCGCGGCCUAUCAGCUUGUUGGUGGGGUGAUGGCCUACCAAGGCUUUGACGGGUAGCCGGCCUGAGAGGGUGACCGGUCACAUUGGGACUGAGAUACGGCCCAGACUCCUACGGGAGGCAGCAGUGGGGAAUAUUGCACAAUGGGCGAAAGCCUGAUGCAGCGACGCCGCGUGAGGGAUGGAGGCCUUCGGGUUGUAAACCUCUUUCGCUCAUGGUCAAGCCGCGACUUUGGGUUGUGGUGAGGGUAGUGGGUAAAGAAGCGCCGGCUAACUACGUGCCAGCAGCCGCGGUAAUACGUAGGGCGCGAGCGUUGUCCGGAAUUAUUGGGCGUAAAGGGCUUGUAGGCGGUUGGUCGCGUCUGCCGUGAAAUCCUCUGGCUUAACUGGGGGCGUGCGGUGGGUACGGGCUGACUUGAGUGCGGUAGGGGAGACUGGAACUCCUGGUGUAGCGGUGGAAUGCGCAGAUAUCAGGAAGAACACCGGUGGCGAAGGCGGGUCUCUGGUGCCGUUACUGACGCUGAGGAGCGAAAGCGUGGGGGAGCGAACAGG